rnacentral:rRNA from 1 species
CAGGUCGCCGCGGGAAUACGUAGGGUGCGAGCGUUAAUCGGAAUUACUGGGCGUAAAGCGUGCGCAGGCGGUUCGUUAAGACAGAUGUGAAAUCCCCGGGCUUAACCUGGGAACUGCAUUUGUGACUGGCGAGCUAGAGUAUGGCAGAUGGGGGUAGAAUUCCACGUGUAGCAGUGAAAUGCGUAGAGAUGUGGAGGAAUACCGAUGGCGAAGGCAGCCCCCUGGCCAAUACUGACGCUCAUGCACGAAAGCGUGGGGAGCAAACAGGAUUAGAGACCCCAGUAGUCCCUGUCUCUUAUAC